GUGACUGGGAGGAGAGCUCCGUCUCUAGAUAGAGGAGUGACUGUGAAUGUAACUUCAAGUUUAUGCCAUGGCUACAAUCCACAAAGCAGCCUUUGGUGCUGAUGACACCCUCAUAGUGAUCGUCAAGGCCACAAUCUGAAAGG